rnacentral:miRNA from 2 species
CUGGUACAGGCCUGGGGGGCA